rnacentral:lncRNA from 1 species
UACUUGUUUAGUUGCAUUUAUCACGUUGAUUAUUUGUAAACGUGAGCUGGUUUUUCUCAUUCUGUUAAGAUUGUAGAAGGCUAUUUAUGAGCCUAGAUUGUUCAAUAAGAGCAAUGUCAUUCCCAGAACUGUUGUGUACUCUUUUAUUUGUGUUUUGAUUCUUAACAUUCUUGGUGUUGAGAUCGUGCCUACUGCUAGUGGAUUAUUUCUUUCCCAACACAAAUACAUCAGGGACCUUUUAGCUAUAGCUGGUAUGGAUGGCGCUAAAGAGGUCAGCACCCCAAUGUCUACC